CCUACGGGGGGCAGCAGUGGGGAAUAUUGCACAAUGGGCGCAAGCCUGAUGCAGCCAUGCCGCGUGUGUGAAGAAGGCCUUCGGGUUGUAAAGCACUUUCAGCGGGGAGGAAGGCGGUGAGGUUAAUAACCUCAUCGAUUGACGUUACCCGCAGAAGAAGCACCGGCUAACUCCGUGCCAGCAGCCGCGGUAAUACGGAGGGUGCAAGCGUUAAUCGGAAUUACUGGGCGUAAAGCGCACGCAGGCGGUCUGUCAAGUCGGAUGUGAAAUCCCCGGGCUCAACCUGGGAACUGCAUUCGAAACUGGCAGGCUAGAGUCUUGUAGAGGGGGGUAGAAUUCCAGGUGUAGCGGUGAAAUGCGUAGAGAGCUGGAGGAAUACCGGUGGCGAAGGCGGCCCCCUGGACAAAGACUGACGCUCAGGUGCGAAAGCGUGGGGAGCAAACAGGAUUAGAUACCCCUGUAGUC
rnacentral:rRNA from 1 species